rnacentral:rRNA from 1 species
GAGUUUGAUCAUGGCUCAGGACGAACGCUGGCGGCGUGCCUAAUACAUGCAAGUCGAGCGAAUGAUGAGGAGCUUGCUUCUCUGAUUUAGCGGCGGACGGGUGAGUAACACGUGGGCAACCUGCCCUGUAGACUGGGAUAACUUCGGGAAACCGGAGCUAAUACCGGAUAAUUCUUUUAGCCUCAUGGCUUUAAGCUAAAAGGCGCUUCGGCGUCACUACAGGAUGGGCCCGCGGUGCAUUAGCUAGUUGGUGGGGUAACGGCCUACCAAGGCAACGAUGCAUAGCCGACCUGAGAGGGUGAUCGGCCACAUUGGGACUGAGACACGGCCCAAACUCCUACGGGAGGCAGCAGUAGGGAAUCUUCCACAAUGGACGAAAGUCUGAUGGAGCAACGCCGCGUGAGUGAUGAAGGUUUUCGGAUCGUAAAACUCUGUUGUAAGGGAAGAACAAGUGCGUUAGGUAAUGAACGCACCUUGACGGUACCUUAUUAGAAAGCCACGGCUAACUACGUGCCAGCAGCCGCGGUAAUACGUAGGUGGCAAGCGUUGUCCGGAUUUAUUGGGCGUAAAGCGCGCGCAGGUGGUUUCUUAAGUCUGAUGUGAAAGCCCACGGCUCAACCGUGGAGGGUCAUUGGGAACUGGGAGACUUGAGUGCAGAAGAGGAUAGUGGAAUUCCAAGUGUAGCGGUGAAAUGCGUAGAGAUUUGGAGGAACACCAGUGGCGAAGGCGACUGUCUGGUCUGUAACUGACACUGAGGCGCGAAAGCGUGGGGAGCAAACAGGAUUAGAUACCCUGGUAGUCCACGCCGUAAACGAUGAGUGCUAAGUGUUAGGGGGUUUCCGCCCCUUAGUGCUGCAGCUAACGCAUUAAGCACUCCGCCUGGGGAGUACGACCGCAAGGUUGAAACUCAAAGGAAUUGACGGGGG